UACGUAGGGGGCGAGCGUUGUCCGGAUUUAUUGGGCGUAAAGAGCUCGUAGGCGGUUUGGUAAGUCGGGUGUGAAAUCUCCACGCUCAACGUGGAGGGGCCACUCGAUACUGCCAUGACUCGAGUCCGGUAGGGGAGUGUGGAAUUCCCGGUGUAGCGGUGAAAUGCGCAGAUAUCGGGAGGAACACCCGUAGCGAAGGCGGCACUCUGGGCCGGAACUGACGCUGAGGAGCGAAAGCGUGGGGAGCAAACAGG
rnacentral:rRNA from 1 species